AUUGAACGCUGGCGGCAGGCCUAACACAUGCAAGUCGAGCGGUAGAGAGAAGCUUGCUUCUCUUGAGAGCGGCGGACGGGUGAGUAAUGCCUAGGAAUCUGCCUGGUAGUGGGGGAUAACGUUCGGAAACGGACGCUAAUACCGCAUACGUCCUACGGGAGAAAGCAGGGGACCUUCGGGCCUUGCGCUAUCAGAUGAGCCUAGGUCGGAUUAGCUAGUUGGGGGGGUAAUGGCUCACCAAGGCGACGAUCCGUAACUGGUCUGAGAGGAUGAUCAGUCACACUGGAACUGAGACACGGUCCAGACUCCUACGGGAGGCAGCAGUGGGGAAUAUUGGACAAUGGGCGAAAGCCUAAUCCAGCCAUGCCGCGUGUGUGAAGAAGGUCUUCGGAUUGUAAAGCACUUUAAGUUGGGAGGAAGGGCAGUAAAUUAAUACUUUGCUGUUUUGACGUUACCGACAGAAUAAGCACCGGCUAACUCUGUGCCAGCAGCCGCAGUAA
rnacentral:rRNA from 1 species